UAGUAUCGCGAGAUCAGGAGGGUGGCCGAGGGUGUCGCCGCGGCCAUCAGGCACUUCUCCUUCCUGCCAUCAUGUGAAGAAGGAUGUGUUUGCUUCCCCUUCUGCCAUGAUUGUAAGUUUCCUGAGGCCUCCUCAGCCCUGCGGAACUGGCUAGAGCAAUGUAUCUUAGGCUCACUUAAGGAAGCUGUAGAAAUGAGCCCAAGGAGGGAAACCAGAAGAGCCCCCCAGGCUCACCAGUUGUUUGUUGGCUCCCUACAAACAUGUCAUUCAAGUGGCUAAUCUUACAACAGCACAAAUGCAUCUAACCAGUCAAUAUACUGAAAGGAAUUCUGCUUCACAAUGCCUGGAGAAGCUUCAAGUGGAGUGUGUCCAAAUCAGAAGGAAACAAUUCCCUUGGUUCUCCUCUGGAUGUCAGCGCAGCACCCAACAGAAUCUCUUCAAAGCCUGGUGGUCUGACACCCUAUGCUACGUGACUUGUGACCCAUCCAUUUGUCAUGUUCUUUGGGAAUGUGGCUAAGGGGCUGAGAUGUGACUUGAAAAGAAAGGUAGAACAAGAUCAUCUCAAAUUUAUUAUCAAGGAAUAGUUCAGACAACGACUUCAGGCCACAAAGACAGCAGAACAGAUGGUCCGGCAUGGAUAGAGCAUCAGACACUCACAGACUGUGCCAACAAGAGCCAUCGAGUCAAAACAGCCAAAGGAAGGAGGGUCAUGGAAUGGGUUCUCUCACACCAAACUGAUGCCCAGAGGCCCUCGGCAUGAAUAACAAAGGCAACCAGACCCACAAUCCAUACUGAGUGGAUACAAAACCUAUACCUAGGCUGACAUCCCAAACGUGUGUGGCAAGUUAGAUGAUGAUGGCACAAAAGACAGAACACCUUGCUUCUGGCCAUUGUCAGCUCUUGGAAGAGAGCACACUUUUAGAGGAGCAGCUGCAAGGAGCCUGAGAACAAAACUGGAAAAGUCUGUUAUGAAAGCCUUCACAGGUAUUAUUAACAAAAGAAAAUGUGUAUUUGUCAAUGGUGUGUCAGCUAGAUUUUGGCAGUCCAUUCUUAUGCCCAGGAAUGACCUCUUGUGUAGACUGGAUACAGUCAUCAAUGCAACUGUCCAGGUGCAACUCUUCUAUAAAGGGAAAGAGGAGUGACUUUCCCCUGUAAAGUGGCCCUGUCAAAAUUCUAUAAAAAAUAUUGUCCAUUUCAUAGGCAUGGGCAAGGACUUCAUGUCUAAAACACCAAAAGCAAUGGCAACAAAAGCCAAAAUUGACAAAUGGGAUCUAAUUAAACUCAAGAGCUUCUGCACAGCAAAAGAAACUACCAUCAGAGUCAACAGGCAACCUACUGUUUUGAUAAGCAGUUUGUUUACCCACUAAUUCCACAGAGGUUAAAUAUAACCCUAAUGUUUAUAUUGGGAGAAAAUUUUCGCAACCUACUCAUCUGACAAAGGGCUAAUAUCCAGAAUCUACAAUGAACUCAAACAAAUUUACAAGAAAAAAACAAACAAUCCCAUCAAAAAGUGGGUGAAGGACAUGAACAGACACUUCUCAAAAGAAGACAUUUAUGCAGCCAAAAAACACAUGAAAAAAUGCUCACCAUCACUGGCCAUCAGAGAAAUGCAAAUCAAAACCACAAUGAGAUACCAUCUCAUACCAGUUAGAAUGGCAAUCAUUAAAAAGUCAGGAAGCAACAGGUGCUGGAGAGGAUGUGGAGAAAUAGGAACACUUUUACACUGUUGGUGGGACUGUAAACUAGUUCAACCAUUGUGGAAGUCAGUGUGACGAUUCCUCAGGGAUCUAGAACUAGAAAUACCAUUUGAGUCAGCCAUCCCAUUACUGGGUAUAUACCCAAAGGACUAUAAAUCAUGCUGCUAUAAAGACAUGCACACAUAUGUUUAUUGCGGCACUAUUCACAAUAGCAAAGACUUGGAACCAACCCAAAUGUCCAACAAUGAUAGACUGGAUUCAGAAAAUGUGGCACAUAUACACCAUGGAAUACUAUGCAGCCAUAAAAAAUGAUGAGUUCAUGUCCUUUGUAGGGACAUGGAUGAAAUUGGAAAUCAUCAUUCUCAGUAAACUAUCGCAAGAACAAAAAACCAAACACCGCAUAUUCUCACUCAUAGGUGGGAAUUGAACAAUGAGAACACAUGGACACAGGAAGGGGAACAUCACACUCUGGGGACUGUUGUGGGGUGGGGGGAGGGGGGAGGGAUAGCUUUAGGGGAUAUACCUAAUGCUAAAUGGCGAGUUAAUGGGUGCAGCACACCAGCAUGACACAUGUAUACAUAUGUAACUAACCUGCACAUUGUGCACAUGUACCCUAAAACUUAAAGUAUAAUAAUAAUAAAAUCAAAAAAUUAAAAAAAUAUAUUGUCCAUUUAAAUUAAAUAACCACUGUGCCUGGCUCCAUUUACCACACUUUUCUAUGCAGUGGAAUUGAAGGGGAUUUUUUUUUUGCUGUCCUCAGAGAAAAAUAAGACUGACAAUCAACCUUUCUAAUGAGAAUGGUAAGGAGUUAUGUGGGGAUGGCCUGGAAUAUAUGCUGCUCAAAUGGUGGAGAUGUUAUCUAGGCCGUAAAUCAUGGCAUUUUUAUAUGAUCCCCCAUGUGCCUAAUGCAGGAAACCACUUGGCAACUUUAAGGAAAAAGUCUAGCAAUAUUGCAUCAUAGUUCAAUGUUUAUAUUGUACUUGGGCAGUUUAAAUUUAUCUUAUAAAGUACUAAUUAUUUAAUUACAAAUGUUGAGUAAGUGUAAAAUCAUUCCUCAAAAAAGCAUCCCUUGAGUAUGAAAGUUCCAAGCUUAGCAAGACAUCCCUGUGAUUUGGGAUACAUCUCUUGAACUCAGUCCUGAAAAUAAUGUUAAUAGCUGAGAAAAGAGCAUUGAAAGCCUUAUACACAGUGUGUUGUAGUGAAACAAUUUUCUUUUUGGUUCUAAAAAACACUGUUGUGCUCUUUAGAUCCAGCAUGGCUAGUUAGGUGAAUAAUGAAUGCAUGUUCAACUUUCUGCUACAGGAAAUUCUGCAAGUGGCAACGUGGGUCCAUUCCGUGUGUGUCACUAGAGCUGGCGCAAGGCCAUGGCCAUGGUGAGGCACUGUUUCCACUGGAACUAAUCUGAUACCUGCACCAGCUCUUGGAACUGCAAACUAUGGAUGGGGUAAAAGACUGCUCACCUCCCAUUUCUCAUCUCAUCUCACACACUCUGUUUGAUGAGGCUAUGGAGAAACAGGUCUUCUCAUACACUAAUGGUGGGAGUACAAACAAUUCAAGCCCUUUGCAGGACAAUUAGGCAAUACCUAUCAAAAUUAUACAUGAUUUUUCCUGCUGACCCAGCAAUUCCACUUCUGGGAAUAAAUUGACAGAUAUAGGUGCAUAUGUACAAAAUGAUGGAAAGCUCUCUGGUAUAUAUUAGUAAGUGAUAAAACAAGGUGUAAAAUAGUGUAUAUAUGGCUACUACCUUUUGUUUUAAAAAUGGGGGAAAAUGGCGGAGCUGGCGGUGAGCGGAGAUCGUGCCACUGCACUCCAACUUGGGCGACAGAGCGAGACUCUGUC